rnacentral:rRNA from 1 species
AAGGCUUGACAUACACCAGAACACCCUAGAAAUAGGGGACUCUUUGGACACUGGUGAACAGGUGGUGCAUGGUUGUCGUCAGCUCGUGUCGUGAGAUGUUGGGUUAAGUCCCGCAACGAGCGCAACCCUCGUUCUAUGUUGCCAGCACGUUAUGGUGGGAACUCAUGGGAUACUGUCGGGGUCAACUCGGAGGAAGGUGGGGAUGACGUCAAAUCAUCAUGCCCCUUAUGUCUUGGG